rnacentral:rRNA from 1 species
UACGGGGGGGGCAAGCGUUGUUCGGAUUCAUUGGGCGUAAAGGGUGCGUAGGUGGCGCGGUAAGUCGGGUGUGAAAUUUCGGAGCUUAACUCCGAAACUGCAUUCGAUACUGCCGUGCUUGAGGACUGGAGAGGAGACUGGAAUUUACGGUGUAGCAGUGAAAUGCGUAGAUAUCGUAAGGAAGACCAGUGGCGAAGGCGGGUCUCUGGACAGUUCCUGACACUGAGGCACGAAGGCCAGGGGAGCAAACGGG